GGUCUGUGAUGAAUAGUAAAAGGUCUGAUGAUCCAAAGACUUGCACUUCCAUGACCUUUUCUCCCAGCAGUUUCUCACCAGUCAUGGCACAGUAAUGGUGUGGCUGGCAGAGUGUUUGCUGACAGCCUGGGAUGUGUUCCAUUCAUGUUAACCUGAAGUACUGGAGACAUGACUGGGAUUGGCAUCCAACAGCCUUACUUGAAGGAGUUUGGGGUCUUGGAUUGUUCUACCUGGACAUGUGAUCUGACUUUUCUGCUGAGACC
rnacentral:snoRNA from 1 species